GACCAAUUCACAUAUAUUCAUAUAAUAUGAUUUAACAUUUUUACUGCAUUCAGAGCUCAUGUACAUAUGAUCUUUACUUCCUAUUGGGUGAUAAAUUUGCAAGUUGAAAGAUACAAGCAGCCAAAUACCAAAACCAAACUUCAUGAAACAGUAUGGUAACCAGGUAAUUAAUAGCCAAGUCAAACUUCGAUAAUCUGCUAUACAAACUGAGUAGGAACUGAUAUUUCCAUUUUGGACCCUUGUUUGAGACUUCUAGCAUUUUCUUGAUUCGAGUAAAAGAUAAGAUCAUAUUCCAUCCAAACCACAUGCAAGUUGAAUAAGAGACCGUAACCAGCAGGAUGGCACAACAGAAACCAGGUAAGAUGCUUUAGGACAGUUGAAAGAAUCAUCAGAUGUGCACACUACCAACUCCAAGCUGCACCAAAGAUAUGAGGCCACUGAAUGCAAGUUCAAACUGAAAAACAUCACAAAGACCAAAUCAUUAUGCUUCAGGAUCAGUAAUCAGAGGUCAAAACCAUCAGGAAAGUCCAUUUGCUUCACCAAGUCCCCGCGCUAACUGACUAUCCAACUCUACAGUCUUGCAAUAAAACCUCCAACAAUGCAAAUCAAUGAACGGCCCAAAUAUAAUCAGCAUACUUAAAGUUUCUUCAAGGAAAGUCAGACCAUAGUGAAAUCUAGUAAAUCAGUUGAAACAGGCAUGGAGUCCAAGUGUAAGUUUUUGUGGUUGCAGAAGAUUCCAAACGAAGAUCCCAAACAGCCAUCAGACGAACAUAAAUCGAAGAACUUAAUGUGCCACUCAAAUCUGACAUCACCAAGCACAGAUGAGGAAUCCAGUAAACUAAUGUGACGAAACAUGGGAAACUGGCCUGCCUCGAGUCCCCUUCACCAUACGUUCACAACCCACAUGGAGAUUUACUUCCAGACCAGAUCAAGAUCCAGUCCUGCAAGCCAAAUUGUAGAGGCGGCGAUAACACAUGAAACAAACAGACCGUCUACGAGACACUGACCUGACUGCAUGUACAGAGCAAAGGUUUGGGCCCAAACUCCUAAUAAAAAUUAUAUAUUGCCAACUCCACACACGCAGAAGACCAAUAAAACACAGGGAUCAAGAGUUAGUCAUCGCCCACAUGGCCUGGGCUAAAGAAAAAUCUGCAACCAUAGGAAGGGCAGGGGCAAAAACCUAUAUCAGAGAGAUGGCCAAGUAACUAAAUGAAAUUUAAAAAAAGGAAGGUUAUAGUCUUUUUCGGUUGUAGGAUGAACCAUUAGUUGAAAUCUCUGGAUCAUCCUAUAUAUUCGUGCUGCAUAUGAAUCUGUAUUUAAAAUAUUGUCUAGUAAGAUAAUUUAUAGAUUAUGUAAGUUGCAAUGAAUUGAAACGACACUGUAGACUUCGAAGAUCAGUAGAUGGAUUCAUCAUCAGGCUGGACAGGAGUUUGUCAACUACAACCUGCAGCGAGCAAGAGACCGUUUCUAUAAAAAAAUUGUUAGGGGAAAUGCUGCUUAUAAAUAGCUAAAGCAUGGAUGAUUGAGUGGGAACAAGUAAAGCCUGUCUAGGGUCAGGUAUGGAUGAUGGAGGACAACAACGCCGGUUCCAAACUGCAGUUAUAUCCUUUCCAAGUCAGUAUCUGCAAGAGCUGAUAAGUACUAAGGCAAAGAAAACCUAAUGUCUAGAGAGUUCAAUUAUAGAGUAAAAAAGGUUGAAAAGGUUUUUAGUCAUAGAAGGAACUGCCAUGCCGAGGCAAAAUAGGACCGCCUUCUAAUCCAUAUUAUUCCAAUUUCUGGAGAGCCACCAAGAAAUAGUAUAAAUUAGAAUUGUGGGAAACCAAAACAGAACAGUGGAGACGAAAGAGUAAAACAGAGAGUGAUAAUUAUCCAAACAUAGAGCAGCAAGAUGCGUCGCUCCCGCUAAGCCAUAUAAUUCCAAUUUCUGGAGAACCACCAACAUAUCCAAAUAUAUCCUGCACAUAGGCCCAGACUCCCUAAAUAUAUCCUGCAACUGAUACACGCAGAAGGCCAGCACGGGGAUCAAGAGUACAAACAACAAAUCGAUCCAGAGAGAGAGAGAGAUUGCAAACCAAACGAUUUUAACAGAGAUUCCGAUUCACUACCAGCAUGGUUUGGGCUUAAUCUGCAACCAAAGGGAGGGUAGAAAGAAAAACCUAAAUUAAAGGCAUAAACAAGUAGCUACGUGAAACAAAAUAUAAGAGGUGGGUUAAAAAUAGUCUUUUCAUUGUAGGAUGUUCCAUUAGUUUGAAUCUCCAUUGUUGAACCUUUGCAGAUCUGUAUUCAAAAUAUUUCCUGGUAAGAUAAUUCUAAAGGUUGUCUAAGUUAUGAUGACUUGAGAAAAUAGUAGAUUUAGAAGAACUGCAAACAGAUUCAACUCAGCACCAGGUUGGACUUGAGUUCAUCAACUACAACCUGCAACGAGGAAGAUACCUUUCUAUAAGUUAACAGGAAAACUAGGCUGGGCCACAGGAAGAACCGCCAUGCUGAGGAAACAUAGGAUCACCCGCUAAGCCGUAUAUGUCCAAUUUCUGGAGAACCAGCAACAAAUCUAAAUCAGAAUUGUCGGAUAACUAAUUGAGCUGUGGAGAAGAAAUUAAGCAGAGAGUAAUGAUCAUCCAAAGACAGGUCAGCAAGAAGAUAGGUCACUCCCGCUAAGCCAUAAUCCCAAUUUCUGGACAACACUGGUUCCAAUUAUUUCGCUUCCAGGCCAGCAUCUGCAGGACCUAAGAAUUACCAACUAAGGCAAAGAAAGUAAUGUCUAGGAAAUUCAAUAAUCAAGGGAGGACAAAAGGUCAGAUAUGUUUGGGCCACAGGAAGAACCGCCAUGCCGAGGAAACAUAGGAUCACCCGCUAAGCCGUAUAUGUUCAAUUUCUGGAGAACCAGCAACAAAUCUAAAUCAGAAUUGUCGGAUAACUAAUUGAGCUGUGGAGAAGAAAUUAAGCAGAGAGUAAUGAUCAUCCAAACACAGGUCAGCAAGAAGAUAGGUCACUCCCGCUAAGCCAUAAUCCCAAUUUCUGGACAACCAUUAACAGAUCCAAAUCAGAAUUGUCAGGGACUAAAAUUGAAUUGUGGAUUAAAUAGAGGGGUUCAUAAUCAUCCAAUUACAGAUCAACAAGAAGAUAGGUUGCUCCUGCUAAAGCCCAAUUUUUGGAAAACCACAAACAAAUAACAAAUACAGAUCAAAACUGCCAAGGACUAAUUGUACUGUGCAAACCAAAUAAAUUGAAUCUGGACAGAAUUCAUUAACCAAACGCAGACCGCAAGCACCAGGUUCCAAUCCAAUCAGUCAAAGUGAUGAACAGAAACCAAAUAUCCACCAAUUAACCCCAUCUCUGGAAAACCACAAAUAUAGAUCAGAACUGCCAAGGACUAAAUUGUAUUUUGCAAACCAAAUAAAUUGAACCGGGGCGGAAUUUAUUAUCCAAACGCAGAUCAGAAGUUCAGGUUGGUAAGAGAUCCAAAGCUUGAUAAUCCAAUCAAUCAAAAUGAUGAACAGAGACCAAAUCUCCACCCUAUGAUUCAUCUAUGCAGAACUACUACCCUCCUGCUGCAAGCAAAAGAGCACAAACACACACCAAACGAUCAGUUGCUACAAUAAGAGUCCGCCAGGACCUCAAAUCCACCUCAUAUUAGCUGAUGAUGAUGGAACACAUGAUGAGAACCACACGACCGCACGAUUCAAAUCUGACCUGCCUCAAUCCCCUUCGACAUACAACACCACAGGGAUCUCCACAUUCCAGAUCCAGUCCUGCAACCAAUGUGUGGAGGGAGGCAAACAACUAAACCAAACAAACCGUUGAUACAACACUGACCUGAUUCAUUGUACAGAGAUUUGCCCAUAGGCCCAAACUUCCUACAGGAUAAGAGUACAGAGAACAAAUCGACCCAUAUAGAGAUAGAUUGCAAACCAAAUGAUUUUAACAGAUUUUGAAUUGCUACCAGCACGCUCUGGGCUAAAAUAAAUCUGCAAUCACAAGGGGGGGAGAAGCAAAAAAGCCUAAAUCAAAGGCAUGAACAAGUAGCUACGUGAUAUAAAAAUAAGAGGCGAAGUUAAAAAUGGAGGAGUCUCUUUUUUAUUGUAGGAUUUGCCAAGUUUGAAGCUCCAUUCUUGCACCUUCCCAGAUAAAUCUGAAUUUAAAAUAUUGCCUAGUGAGAAGAUCUUAAAGGUUAUCUAAGUAAUGAUGAAUUGAUUAGAGAUCAGAAUUAGAAAAAAACUGCAAACAGAUUCAACUCAGCAUCAGGUUGGACUUUGCAUUCCUCAAACCUGCAACGAGGAAGAUACUUUUCUGUAAAUUAGGGGGAAACUAGGCUCAGCUAAAGCAUGCUUCAAAUGAGGAGGAGGUAGAAGUUAUAAGAAAGUUCGUCUGGGAAGGUCAGGUAGAUAGCACCGGUUCCAACUAUAUCCGUUCCAAGACGGUGUCUGCAAUAGCUAACAAAUGACAAACGAUAAACUAAGGCAUAGAGAACUUGUCUGGUGUGCUUUAAUAACUAUAUUACUGAUGAGUAAGAAAAAUUGUUGAGCCACAGAAAAAGAACCGACAUGCCGAGGGAAAAUAGGACCACCCGUUAAGCCAUAUAAUCCAAUUUUCUGGAGUACGAGCAACAGAUCCAAAUCAGAAUUGUAUGGGGAGUAAUUGAACUGUGAAGAAAAGGAAAUAAACAAAGAGAGAAUGAUCAUCCAAACACAGGUGAGGAAGAAUGACAAGUCGCUCCCGGUAAGCCAUAUAAUCCCAAUUUCUGGACAACCAUCAACAAACCUAAAUCAGAACCGACUGAGAUUGAACUGUGCAGAUGAAGGAAUUAAAUAGAGGGGGUAAUUAAUCAUCCAAACGCAGAUGUUGCUCCCGCUAUGGCGUGUAAUCCAAUUUAUAAUUUCUGGACAAGCAAAGAAUUCAGAUCAGAAUUGCAUGCCGUUAACUACUGACUAAAAUUGGGAGGGAUCCAUUUAUAUUAUCCAAACGCAGAUCGCAGGUUCAGGCUGGUAAGAGAUCACAGGCUUCAUGAUACGAGAAGAUCUGGCCAUAUCAGGACAAUAACCGCUGAACCCUAACCUUAAACAAUCAGAAAUUCAGAAUAACCGCUGAACCUUAACCGACGAAUCAAAAUAACCAUGAAAAUAAAUCAAACCUCCAUCUCCGCAGAACUAGCGCGCCCUCUGGCUUCCUCUGCAUCUAGGGUGAGAGCACAAGACAUACCAAAACCGAGAUCAGCCGGCACAAUAUAAGAGAAUCUUCCACGAAUUGAAGGCCUCGAAUGGAUACACCUUGAACUAACGGACGAUAGGGAAUAAAUAAACCACAGCGCUCGGGCAACGACAGGAUCACACGGGCCAUGUAUCCAUUUGAUUGAAAUCUGGCAUCUCGGACGAACGCAGAGGAAGCGAUCUGAACUCGCACGGGAAACUGACCUUGCCUCGGCCUCCGGCUCCAUAUCAGAGCUCCAAUUCCAAAAACCUGGCUCGACGAUCCUGCAUGCAACCAACGCGCGGGGACGCGAACACGACGAGGAACACGGGAUCCACAGUUGCAAGCACACAAAACAGAUUCUGAGGAGGAUCCGCAAACCAGAUGGAGGUCCCAAACGGAUGAAUUCCUCGGUCGAUCGAUCGCUUCCCGAGCUCGCACGGAGGCGGAGGAGGCCGGGCCGGACUCGCAUACCCUGCGAACACGGCAAGGCAACGGCGACGGCGAGUCAACGAACUCAAAUCAGACGCGAUUCGAAGCGAAUCGAGAUUGAGGGACGAGAGAAACGGGGAGAGGAGGAAACAGUCGCGCAAUCGCGAGGAGGCGAGAGUGGGGGCGCGGCCCGUCGCGAACGAGAGAGUUCGGAAGAGAGGAAGGGACCGGAGCGCGGGGAGGAGAGGGCGCGCCUGGGGCGCCUUUUGUAGCCGGGGCAGAGGCGGUG
rnacentral:lncRNA from 1 species